rnacentral:rRNA from 1 species
AUUGAACGCUGGCGGCAUGCCUUACACAUGCAAGUCGAACGGCAGCACGGGUGCUUGCACCUGGUGGCGAGUGGCGAACGGGUGAGUAAUACAUCGGAACAUGUCCUGUAGUGGGGGAUAGCCCGGCGAAAGCCGGAUUAAUACCGCAUACGAUCCACGGAUGAAAGCGGGGGACCUUCGGGCCUCGCGCUAUAGGGUUGGCCGAUGGCUGAUUAGCUAGUUGGUGGGGUAAAGGCCUACCAAGGCGACGAUCAGUAGCUGGUCUGAGAGGACGACCAGCCACACUGGGACUGAGACACGGCCCAGACUCCUACGGGAGGCAGCAGUGGGGUAUUUUGGACAAUGGGCGAAAGCCUGAUCCAGCAAUGCCGCGUGUGUGAAGAAGGCCUUCGGGUUGUAAAGCACUUUUGUCCGGAAAGAAAUCCUUGACUCUAAUACAGUCGGGGGAUGACGGUACCGGAAGAAUAAGCACCGGCUAACUACGUG